rnacentral:rRNA from 1 species
GUGUCAGCAGCCGCGGUAAUACGGAAGGGGCAAGCGUUGUUCGGAAUCAUUGGGCGUAAAGGGCGCGUAGGUGGUUCUGUAUGUCUACCGUGAAAGCAUACAGCUCAACUGUAUUUUGUCGGUAGAAACUGCAGGACUUGAGGCUGGGAGGGGCUGGUGGAAUUCCCUGUGUAGCGGUGAAAUGCGUAGAGAUGGGGGAGAACACUCGUGGCGAAGGCGGCCAGCUAGACCAGUUCUGACACUGAGGCGCGACAGCGUGGGGAGCAAACAGGAUUAGAAACCCCGGUAGUCC